UACGUAGGGUGCGAGCGUUAAUCGGAAUUACUGGGCGUAAAGCGUGCGUAGGCGGUUGGCAAAGUCAGCUGUGAAAAGCCCCCGGGGCUUAACCUGGGAAUGGCGGUUGAAACUGGUCGACUAGAAAUCUGGCAGAGGGGGGGGGUGGAAUUCCACGUGUAGCAGUGAAAAUGCGUAGAGAUGUGGAGGAACACCGAUGGCGAAGGCAGCCCCCCUGGGCUGAGAUUGACGCUCAGGCACGAAAGCGUGGGGGAGCAAAC
rnacentral:rRNA from 1 species